rnacentral:rRNA from 1 species
GACGAACGCUGGCGGCGUGCUUAACACAUGCAAGUCGAGCGGUAAGGCCCUUUCGGGGGUACACGAGCGGCGAACGGGUGAGUAACACGUGGGUGACCUGCCCUCAGCUCUGGGAUAAGCCUGGGAAACCGGGUCUAAUACUGGAUAUGACUCCAUGACGCAUGUUGUGGGGUGGAAAGCCUUGUGCGGCUGAGGAUGGGCCCGCGGCCUAUCAGCUUGUUGGUGGGGUGANGGCCUACCAGGGCGACGACGGGUAGCCGGCCUGAGAGGGCGACCGGCCACACUGGGACUGAGACACGGCCCAGACUCCUACGGGAGGCAGCAGUGGGGAAUCUUGCGCAAUGGGCGAAAGCCUGACGCAGCGACGCCGCGUGAGGGAUGACGGCCUGGUU